GAUGAACGCUGGCGGCGUGCCUAAUACAUGCCAAUAGAACGCUGAAGGAGGAGCUUGCUCUUCUGGAUGAGUUGCGAACGGGUGAGUAACGCGUAGGUAACCUGCCUGGUAGCGGGGGAUAACUAUUGGAAACGAUAGCUAAUACCGCAUGACAACAGUUAUUGCAUGAUAACUGUUUAAAAGGGGCAACUGCUCCACUACCAGAUGGACCUGCGUUGUAUUAGCUAGUUGGUGAGGUAACGGCUCACCAAGGCGACGAUACAUAGCCGACCUGAGAGGGGGAUCGGCCACACUGGGACUGAGACACGGCCCAGACUCCUACGGGAGGCAGCAGUAGGGAAUCUUCGGCAAUGGACGGAAGUCUGACCGAGCAACGCCGCGUGAGUGAAGAAGGUUUUCGGAUCGUAAAGCUCUGUUGUAAGAGAAGAACGAGUGUGAGAGUGGAAAGUUCACACUGUGACGGUAUCUUACCAGAAAGGGACGGCUAACUACGUG
rnacentral:rRNA from 1 species